CUGAGUGAGGGCCCUCUGGGUCCAACCUCCCACCCGUGUUUAUUGUACCUUGUUGCUUCGGUGCGCCCGCCUCACGGCCGCCCGGGGGCAGAAGCCCCCCGGGCCCGCGCCCACCGAAGACACCAUUGAACUCUGUCUGAAGAUUGCAGUCUGAGCAUAAACUAAAUAAGUUA
rnacentral:misc_RNA from 1 species